UACGGAGGGGGCUAGCGUUGUUCGGAAUUACUGGGCGUAAAGCGCGCGUAGGCGGAUCUGCAAGUCGGGGGUGAAAUCCCGAGGCUCAACCUCGGAACUGCCUUCGAUACUGCGGGUCUCGAGUCCGGGAGAGGUGAGUGGAAUUCCUAGUGUAGAGGUGAAAUUCGUAGAUAUUCGGAAGAACACCAGUGGCGAAGGCGGCUCACUGGCCCGGUACUGACGCUGAUGUGCGAAAGCGUGGGGAGCAAACAGG
rnacentral:rRNA from 1 species